UACAGAGGUCUCAAGCGUUGUUCGGAUUCAUUGGGCGUAAAGGGUGCGUAGGCGGCGCGGUAAGUCGGGUGUGAAAUCUCGGAGCUUAACUCCGAAACUGCAUUCGAUACUGGCGUGCUUGAGGACUGGAGAGGAGACUGGAAUUCAUGGUGUAGCAGUGAAAUGCGUAGAGAUCAUGAGGAAGACCAGUGGCGAAGGCGGGUCUCUGGACAGUUCCUGACACUGAGGAGCGAAAGCAUGGGGAGCGAACAGG
rnacentral:rRNA from 1 species